GCCAGUUGGAGCUGGUACAUUGCUGUCUUCACUGGAGUGCUGCAAGCUCGAAGUGUGAUCCUGAGUAGCUGUUAUUCAAUACCAUAUGCUCUUAAGGACAACGCCCUGAUGUCCAAGGUCAAUCAGCAAGAAGCUGAGAAGGCACUGUCAAAAUGGUUCACUGGGGCAAGGGACAGAGGAGGACAGAGAGCAUCAAGAACGCAAAAAAGGAUGUCUGUUUGAGAAAGGUUAUAACUGCAGUUGCUGAUUUGAACUGUCAUAGUUCUUUUAUUUUUCUUAAAGGAAAACCUUUUUCAAUAUUUUACCAUGUUCUUCCCUCAACUUAGAUGAAUAAAUACAUACCUCUAUUUUCUCAAUGCGUGCACUUAAAGGUGGGGUGCACAAUUUCUGAAAAAAAAAAGUUUUGGAAAAGGAAGUCGGGCAGACUACCAAAACACACUUGUAGCCAAUCAGUAGCAUGUCUACUAACUGACAUCGUUUCCUGCCUUGCGUAUUUGUGGGGCAGGUCUAUCAAAAGAAGGUCCAGAUUCUAUUAUGGCAAGGGUGUGUUUGUUUAGAUGAUUUCAAAAUGUAAACAUUAGUGAUGCAACAAUACACUUAGUUCACGGUUCAAUACAAUUUUCGGUUCUUGUCCACGGUUUUCGGUUCGGUAUCGGUCCUGAUGCCUUGACCUAUUAAAGUGUUUUUUAAUUACCGGUAUUCUAUGCUUGGGUAACAGGAACAGUGAGAUGUUAAGAAGCAAAAAUACUGGUUUUAAUUGCAGUUCUCUUUAUUUUAUGUAGAUGCAACAUGAUCUUACACAUUUCUAGUGUAUUGAUACAGUAAUAUAAGAUAUAAUUAAAUAAAGAUAUAUAAAAAUUAUAUCCUAUUCAAACUGGGGAACAUGUGAAUUCAUUAAAUUACAUAAAUUGGCCAUUUUAUAUACCUGUACUUAGUAAAUUAAACUUUACAUUGUAAAUGAAGGAUAUACCUUACCGCACUACUGUUCAAUCCAACAUCAUGUUGUCUAUGUAGAAACCAAAAAUGCGUUCCUCAAUCAAGAUUACUUGUGGGAUUUAUUUUAGCAUCAGGCGCAUUCUCUUCUUGAGUUGAACUUUUUGAGGACGGAAGACGUGUUUGAGGCAAAUAACGCGCGUUUGCGAAUUUGCAUCUUUACAUUGAUGUUGUAUGUAAUCUACACGCGCAAGUAGUUAAUCCUCACCUCAGAUUUAAAAGACAGUUGUGCUGCUGCUUUUUGUUGUCGUAUUUCUGUUGGGUGUGUGCGCACGCGAAUGAAAUCUGACACCAGCAUUGCAAGCAGAGUUCAAGCAGAGUUAACGCAGGUAGCGCACAGUGAUUGGAUAUCAACUCGCUGUGGCGUUUAUAAGCGUGCAGAUCAUGCGGACGCGCACAUUAACAAAAGUGCAGGGAAUAUAAAACUGAUAGAUUUGGAUGGAUAAACCGAAAAACCGCAAUUCACAUGCACGUAUUGCACCAGGGGGGUCGAACCGAACGGUUCAAUAAUGUAUUGAGAAUUGUGGCAUCCCUAGUAAACGUUGGCUUUCAUGCACCCUGCCUUUAUUUGUUGUGAAGUGUGGCGUGAAUAUGUUAGCAUUUAGCCUAGCACCAUUCAUCCAUUAAGAUCCAAACAGGGAAGAAUUUAAUAGCCACCAAAAACUUCCAUGUUUUCUAGGGGUGCACGAUUCAGAAAAUUCGAUUCAUGAUUCGAUUCCAAUUUUCGAUUCAAAAACGAUUCUCGGUUUUAAAAAACAAUUCACAGUAUGUAAAUGUAGUUUACUUUUUCCUAUGUGACUGAUUGAAGUAGAUAUACAAUUUUAUAGAAAAGAAACACAACAAGUUAAAUGUAGUUUGAUGUUACUUUAUGUCUUUAUGCAAAAAUAAAAACUGUUAUGAAGCAAUUA